rnacentral:misc_RNA from 1 species
GAUGAAGAACGUAGCGAAAUGCGAUAAGUAAUGUGAAUUGCAGAAUUCAGUGAAUCAUCGAAUCUUUGAACGCACAUUGCGCCCGCCAGUAUUCUGGCGGGCAUGCCUGUUCGAGCGUCAUUUCAACCAUCAAGCCCCAGGCUUGUGUUGGGGACCUGCGGCUGCCGCAGGCCCUGAAAACCAGUGGCGGGCUCGCUGUCACACCGGGCGUAGUAGAUUUUAUCUCGCUCAGGGCGUGCUGCGAGUUCCGGCCGUUAAAAAGCCUUUUUUACCCAAGGUUGACCUCGGAUCAGGUAGGAAGACCCGCUGAACUUAAGCAUAUCAAUAAGCGGAGGA